rnacentral:rRNA from 1 species
UACGUAGGGCGCAAGCGUUAUCCGGAAUUAUUGGGCGUAAAGAGCUCGUAGGCGGUUUGUCGCGUCUGCCGGUGAAAGUCCGGGGCUCAACUCCGGAUCUGCGGUGGGUACGGGCAGACUAGAGUGCUGUAGGGGAGACUGGAAUUCCUGGUGUAGCGGUGAAAUGCGCAGAUAUCGGGAAGAACACCCGUGGCUAAGGCGGCUCUCUAGUACGGUACUGACGCUGAGACGCGAAAGCGUGGGGAGCGAACAGG